UUAACAAUCCCAUUGAUUUAGGUAUUCUCAGCAUAAGAGACAACUUCUCCAUACCUUCUUAUCCUGUACCCUUCUUGCUCCUAUACAGCAUAUACUAUUGACUAUACUAAAGGUCUUCUAAUAUUCCAUAGAUACCAUUACAAUCUUUGGGUUGUGCAACUCUUUUUCUUCCUUUAAAAAAAAAACCCUUAACUUCUAUCUUAGAAUCAAUAUCACGUAUUGGUUCCAAGACAGAAAAGCAAUAAGGGCUAGGCAAUGGGGGUCAAGUCACUUGCCCAGAGUCACACAACUAGAGUCUGAGAUAAGAUUUGAACCCAAGACCUCCCAUCUCUAGAACAUGUUAUACUACAUUGGUAGAAGUUUCUUUGCCAAGGAAGUGACCUAUUCCAAUGAAAUCAUAAAUCUAAUCCCUAUCUUUUGUAUUUUAAUUAGAUUUUGACUUAUAACAUCAUUGGUAUAAGGAAUUCCCAAUGAUGAAAUGGUCCUUACCCAUACAGAAGAGUACCUUCUCUGUAAUUUCAACUCUUAGAAAGUUUCCUGGAGCACUUAAAGAUCAAGUGGUUUGCUUUACAUAGUAUAUAUCAAAGGGAAGAUGUGAACACAAGAGCAGGGUAAAAACAAUCAGAAUGGUAGGAGACCUUCCAGACUCAUUUCCUGACUUAACCUUGAUUCAUCAAACUUUUCUUUAGGAAUAGUCUAGCCUUAUAAUUUAAGCAAAUUUCUCAUCUUAACAAAUACAGGUGCAGAGGAGAAAGAAUACUUGGAAUCAAAAAGUGAACAAGGGUAGAGGGACAUCAGAAGAGAUCCUGGGCAAUCACUUGUUGAAGAUAUUGGAAAAAGGAUUCCUACUCAAGCACAAGUCAGAUUUAAUGGCCCCUGUGGUCUUUUCCAACUCCAUGAACCUCUACUGAGUGGAAUAGCACUGAGUUCCAUGAGUCUACCAAAAAAUAGUAGGGUCAUUUUUGAACUUUGUAUCUUGAGAACCUCGGACCAUGCCACGCACAUCUUAGAUGCUUAAGAAAAUGAUUUUUGAAAGAUGGGAAUAACCUAUGUUAAAGGGACCAUGAAAAGAGACACACUGAUGCAUUAUUGAUGGAGCUGUGAUUUAAUACAACCAUUUUGGAAAGACACUUGGAAGUAUGCAAAUGAAGUGGUGAAAAUACCUAUACUCAGAGAUUCUACUACUAUACAUAUACCCAAAGGAGGUAUUGCUAAAAAAGAAAUUCCCCAAAAGAUAUCAAAAGAUUUAUAGCAGCACUUUUUGUGGUAGCAA
rnacentral:lncRNA from 1 species